rnacentral:rRNA from 1 species
UAGGGAAUCUUCGGCAAUGGGGGGAACCCUGACCGAGCAACGCCGCGUGAGUGAAGAAGGUUUUCGGAUCGUAAAGCUCUGUUGUUAAGGAAGAAUGAGUGUGAGAAUGGAAAGUUCAUGCUGUGACGGUACUUAACCAGAAAGGGACGGCUAACUACGUGCCAGCAGCCGCGGUAAUACGUAGGUCCCGAGCGUUGUCCGGAUUUAUUGGGCGUAAAGCGAGCGCAGGCGGUCAAUUAAGUCUGAUGUGAAAGCCCCCGGCUCAACCGGGGAGGGUCAUUGGAAACUGGUUGACUUGAGUGCAGAAGAGGAGAGUGGAAUUCCAUGUGUAGCGGUGAAAUGCGUAGAUAUAUGGAGGAACACCAGUGGCGAAGGCGACUCUCUGGUCUGUAACUGACGCUGAGGCUCGAAAGCGUGGGUAGCAAACAGG